GAGGUGUUAGUAAAUAAAUUACACAGCCUUGUCAAGGCUGAAUAACCGGUGAAAUCCCAGUACACCUCU
rnacentral:tRNA from 1 species